GCCGGCGUGGCGGAAUCGGUAGACGCGACGGACUCAAAAUCCGUUGCCCCUUAAAGGCGUGUGGGUUCGAGUCCCUCCGCCGGCA
rnacentral:tRNA from 1 species